UACGUAGGUGGCGAGCGUUGUCCGGAAUUAUUGGGCGUAAAGGGCUCGUAGGCGGUUUGUCGCGUCGGGAGUGAAAUCCACUGGCUUAACUGGUGGCUUGCUUUCGAUACGGGCAGACUGGAGGUAUGUAGGGGAGAACGGAAUUCCUGGUGUAGCGGUGAAAUGCGCAGAUAUCAGGAGGAACACCGGUGGCGAAGGCGGUUCUCUGGGCAUGUCCUGACGCUGAGGAGCGAAAGUGUGGGGAGCGAACAGG
rnacentral:rRNA from 1 species